rnacentral:rRNA from 1 species
GACGAACGCUGGCGGCGUGCUUAACACAUGCAAGUCGAACGGAAAGGCCCUACUUUUGUGGGGUGCUCGAGUGGCGAGCGGGUGAGUAACACGUGAGUAACCUGCCCUUGACUUUGGGAUAACUUCAGGAAACUGGGGCUAAUACCGGAUAGGAGCUCCUGCUGCAUGGUGGGGGUUGGAAAGUUUCGGCGGUUGGGGAUGGACUCGCGGCUUAUCAGCUUGUUGGUGGGGUAGUGGCUUACCAAGGGUUUGACGGGUAGCCGGCCUGAGAGGGUGACCGGCCACAUUGGGACUGAGAGACGGCCCAGACUCCUACGGGAGGCAGCAGUGGGAAGUAUUGCACAAUGGGCGGAAGCCUGAUGCAGCGACGCCGCGUGCGGGAUGACGGCCUUCGGGUUGUAAACCGCUUUCGCCUGUGACGAAGCGUGAGUGACGGUAAUGGGUAAAGAAGCACCGGCUAACUACGUG